UCCAGAUGUAAACAUACACUGCCCUGCGAUCCCUCCACUAUUCCUCACGGGCAUCACUGGACUCACCGUCACUCCUGGCCUACUGGACUCACCGUCACUCCUGCCCUACUGGACUCACCGUCUCUCCUGCCCUACUGGACUCACCGUCUCUCCUGCCCUACUGGACUCACCGUCUCUCCUGCCCUACUGGACUCACCGUCUCUCCUGCCCUACUGGACUCACUGUCUCUCCUGCCCUACUGGACUCACCGUCUCUCCUGCCCUACUGGACUCAUUGUCUCUCCUGUCCUACUGGACUCACCGUCACUCCUGUCCUACUGGACUCACCGUCUCUCCUGCCCUACUGGACUCACCGUCUCUCCUGCCCUACUGGACUCACCGUCACUCCUGGACUCACCGUCUCUCCUGGACUCACCGUCUCUCCUGCCCUACUGGACUCACCGCCUCUCCUGGCCUACUGGACUCACCGUCUCUCCUGCCCUACUGGACUCACCGUCUCUCCUGCCCUACUGGACUCACCGUCUCUCCUGCCCUACUGGACUCACCGUCUCUCCUGCCCUACUGGACUCACCGUCUCUCCUGCCCUACUGGACUCACCGUCUCUCCUGCCCUACUGGACUCACAGUCUCUCCUGCCCUACUGGACUCACCGUCACUCCUGCCCUACUGGACUCACCGUCACUCCUGCCCUACUGGACUCACCGUCUCUCCUGCCCUACUGGACUCACCGUCUCUCCUGCCCUACUGGACUCACCGUCUCUCCUGCCCUACUGGACUCACCGUCUCUCCUGCCCUACUGGACUCACUGUCUCUCCUGCCCUACUGGACUCACCGUCUCUCCUGCCCUACUGGACUCAUUGUCUCUCCUGUCCUACUGGACUCACCGUCACUCCUGCUCCUACUGGACUCACCGUCUCUCCUGCCCUACUGGACUCACCGUCUCUCCUGCCCUACUGGACUCACCGUCACUCCUGGACUCACCCUCUCCUGGACUCACCGUCUCUCCUGCCCUACUGGACUCACUGUCUCUCCUGCCCUACUGGACUCACCGUCUCUCCUGGCCUACUGGACUCACCGUCUCUCCUGUCCUACUGGACUCACCGUCACUCCUGCCCUACUGGACUCACCGUCUCUCCUGCCCUACUGGACUCACCGUCUCUCCUGCCCUACUGGACUCACCGUCACUCCUGGACUCACCGUCUCUACUGGACUCACCGUCUCUCCUGCCCUACUGGACUCACCGCCUCUCCUGCCCUACUGGACUCACCGUCUCUCCUGCCCUACUGGACUCACCGUCUCUCCUGCCCUACUGGACUCACCGUCUCUCCUGCCCUACUGGACUCACCGUCUCUCCUGCCCUACUGGACUCACCGUCUCUCCUGCCCUACUGGACUCACAGUCUCUCCUGCCCUACUGGACUCACAGUCUCUCCUGCCCUACUGGACUCACCGUCACUCCUGCCCUACUGGACUCACCGUCACUCCUGCCCUACUGGACUCACCGUCUCUCCUGCCCUACUGGACUCACCGUCUCUCCUGCCCUACUGGACUCACAGUCUCUCCUGCCCUACUGGACUCACCGUCUCUCCUGCCCUACUGGACUCACCGUCUCUCCUGCCCUCCUGGUCUCUCCGUCCUCCUGGACUCACCGUCUCUCUGCCCUACUGGACUCACCGUCUCUCCUGCCCUACUGGACUCACCGUCACUCCUGCCCAACUGGACUCACCGUCUCUCCUGCCCUACUGGACUCACCGUCACUCCUGGCCUACUGGACUCACCGUCACUCCUGCCCUACUGGACUCACCGUCUCUCCUGCCCUACUGGACUCACCGUCUCUCCUGCCCUACUGGACUCACCGUCUCUCCUGCCCUACUGGACUCACCGUCUCUCCUGCCCUACUGGACUCACCGUCUCUCCUGCCCUACUGGACUCACCGUCUCUCCUGCCCUACUGGACUCACCGUCUCUCCUGCCCUACUGGACUCACCGUCUCUCCUGCCCUACUGGACUCACCGUCUCUCCUGCCCUACUGGACUCACCGUCUCUCCUGCCCUACUGGACUCACCGUCUCUCCUGCCCUACUGGACUCACCGUCUCUCCUGCCCUACUGGACUCACCGUCACUCCUGCCCUACUGGACUCACCGUCACUCCUGCCCUACUGGACUCACCGUCUCUCCUGCCCUACUGGACUCACCGUCUCUCCUGCCCUACUGGACUCACCGUCUCUCCUGCCCUACUGGACUCACCGUCUCUCCUGCCCUACUGGACUCACCGUCUCUCCUGCCCUACUGGACUCACCGUCUCUCCUGCCCUACUGGACUCAUUGUCUCUCCUGCCCUACUGGACUCACCGUCACUCCUGCCCUACUGGACUCACAGUCUCUCCUGCCCUACUGGACUCACCGUCUCUCCUGUCCUACUAGACUCACCGUCUCUCCUGCCCUACUGGACUCACCGUCUCUCCUGCCCUACUGGACUCACCGUCACUCCUGUCCUACUGGACUCACCGUCUCUCCUGGACUCACCGUCUCUCCUGCCCUACUGGACUCACCGUCACUCCUGUCCUACUGGACUCACCGUCUCUCCUGGACUCACCGUCUCUCCUGCCCUACUGGACUCACCGUCACUCCUGCCCAACUGGACUCACCGUCUCUCCUGGCCUACUGGACUCACCGUCCUCCUGCCUACUGGACUCACCGUCUCUCCUGCCCUACUGGACUCACCGUCUCUCCUGCCCUACUGGACUCACCGUCUCUCCUGCCCUACUGGACUCACCGUCUCUCCUGCCCUACUGGACUCACCGUCUCUCCUGCCCUACUGGACUCACCGUCUCUCCUGCCCUACUGGACUCACCGUCUCUCCUGCCCUACUGGACUCACCGUCUCUCCUGCCCUACUGGACUCACCGUCUCUCCUGCCCUACUGGACUCACCGUCUCUCCUGCCCUACUGGACUCACAGUCUCUCCUGCUCUACUGGACUCACAGUCUCUCCUGGCCUACUGGACUCACCGUCUCUCCUGGCCUACUGGACUCACAGUCUCUCCUGGCCUACUGGACUCACCGUCUCUCCUGCCCUACUAGACUCACAGUCUCUCCUGCCCUACUGGACUCACCGUCACUCCUGUCCUACUGGACUCACCGUCUCUCCUGGACUCACCGUCUCUCCUGCCCUACUGGACUCACCGUCUCUCCUGCCCUACUGGACUCACCGUCUCUCCUGGCCUACUGGACUCACCGUCUCUCCUGGCCUACUGGACUCACCGUCUCUCCUGGCCUACUGGACUCACCGUCUCUCCUGCCCUACUGGACUCACCGUCUCUCCUGCCCUACUGGACUCACCGUCUCUCCUGCCCUACUGGACUCACCGUCUCUCCUGGACUCACCGUCUCUCCUGCCCUACUGGACUCACCGUCUCUCCUGCCCUACUGGACUCACCGUCACUACUGCCCUACUGGACUCACCGUCACUCCUGGACUCACCGUCUCUCCUGGACUCACCGUCUCUCCUGUCCUACUGGACUCACCGUCUCUCCUGCCCUACUGGACUCACCGUCACUCCUGCCCUACUGGACUCCACGUCACUCCUGCCCUACUGGACUAACCGUCUCUCCUGCCCUACUGGACUCACCGUCACUCCUGCCCUACUGGACUCACCGUCACUCCUGCCCUACUGGACUCACCGUCACUCCUGGCCUACUGGACUCACCGUCACUCCUGGCCUACUGGACUCACCGUCACUCCUGGCCUACUGGACUCACCGUCAAUCCUGGCCUACUGGACUCACCGUCUCUCCUGGCCUACUGGACUCACCGUCUCUCCUGGCCUACUGGACUCACCGUCUCUCCUGCCCUACUGGACUCACCGUCUCUCCUGGCCUACUGGACUCACCGUCUCUCCUGGCCUACUGGACUCACCGUCACUCCUGGCCUACUGGACUCACCGUCUCUCCUGCCCUACUGGACUCACCGUCUCUCCUGCCCUACUGGACUCACAGUCUCUCCUGGCCUACUGGACUCACCGUCUCUCCUGGCCUACUGGACUCACCGUCUCUCCUGGCCUACUGGACUCACCGUCUCUCCUGCCCUACUGGACUCACAGUCUCUCCUGGCCUACUGGACUCACCGUCUCUCCUGCCCUACUGGACUCACAGUCUCUCCUGCCUUACUGGACUCACCGUCUCUCCUGCCCUACUGGACUCACCGUCUCUCCUGCCCUACUGGACUCACCGUCUCUCCUGCCCUACUGGACUCACCGUCUCUCCUGCCCUACUGGACUCACCGUCUCUCCUGCCCUACUGGACUCACCAUCUCUCCUGCCCUACUGGACUCACAGUCUCUCCUGCCCUACUGGACUCACCAUCUCUCCUGCCCUACUGGACUCACCAUCUCUCCUGCCCUACUAGACUCACCGUCUCUCCUGCCCUACUGGACUCCCAUAAUGUUUUACUGUUCUACACAUCUUAA
rnacentral:lncRNA from 8 species